CUGCAACAUAUCUGAGUAACCGUUUCACAACCUUCCAAUGCUCAAUAGUGGGAGAGUGCAUGAAUUAAGAAACUUUGUUCACUGCAGAGGCAAGGUUAGGUCUUGAAAUUGUCAAAUAUUGAAGAGCUCGAACAAUUUCUCUAGAUUGUUUGGGGUUCUCGAAAUGAUCAACACUAAUAAAAGUCAAUUUUAAUGAGAAAACCAUAGGGGCAUACGGUUGACAGUAUCCAUCUUUGCUUCGCUAAGCAAUUCUUUGACAUAUUGUUAGGGACUUGGGUAUUAUGGGUCAGAUAAGAAAACUCUAAACCAGGGAAAUAACUCAACUUGCCAAGUUACAACAAUAUCAUUUGAACCAAACACUUGGAGAUUGUUUCAAUCCAUAAAUUGCCUUUCUAAGUUUACAAAUCUUUGAGUCAUUACCAAGUUGAGUCAUAAAAACUUCUUCUAGAUUGUCAUUUAGGAAGGCAUUGUCAAAAUCGAACUGCCUUAGAAUCCAACCAAGAGAAAAUGCAAUGGUGAUGACAAUUCGAACUAUAGUAGGCACUACAGGGCUAUAUAUUUGACUGUAGUCUAUGUCUUCAAUUUGAAGAAAUCUUUUGGCAACAAAUCUUGCUUUGUAUUUGACUAUAUUGCCUAAAGGAUCUCUUUUAAUUGCAAAGACCCAUUUUGACCCUAUAACAGUUUUAUUUAUGGAGGAUCCACCAAAUCCCAUGUUUUGCGUCUUGAAAGAGCUUGAAAUUCAACAUCCAUAGUCCACUUCCAGUGAGGGCAUUGGAGGGAUUAUUUGACAUUUUUUGGUAUAUUGAGUCAAAUCAUAUGAGACUGAAGUAGAAGGAAUCAAAGCUUGAGGUUUUGGAUUUUUUUAUUUUGACCUUGUGAUCAUACUUUGAGUGUUUGUAGUGUGUUGCACAUUAUGUUGAGAUGUAGAAUCAAAAGGUAAGCAUAUUUCAAGACCUGAAAUGGGUAUAGGGUCAUGGCUGGAUGUAGUAUGUGUUGGAGCCUUGGAGGGUCAAUAUGAUCAAUUGCUUGAUGAUCAAUGGUUACUAGAGAACUUUGAUUUUGAUGUGUCUGAGAUGGUGAGGAUUUAAUAGAGGUUGGUGGAGGUUGUGCUGUAGCUUUAAUAGAGGAAGAGGGAUUUGUAAAAGUAAAAGUCUACACAUUGCUUGGUGAGGUGUAAGAAUUAUAUGGAAAUAAAGAAUUAUAUGGAAAGUCUGUUUCAUCAAAUAUAUCAUGUCGAGUAGUGUAUCUUAACUUCUUUUGUCAUGCAUUUAUAACCUCUAUAGUUGUUAUCAUAACCAAGAAACAUACAUUUUUCAGAUUUGAAAGCAAACUUGACCAUAUUAUAUGGCCUAAGAUAGAGAAAACAUGCACAACCAAAUAUUUUCAAAUAACAAUAAUCUGGAAUUCUACCAAACAGCAUCUUAUAAGGUGAUUUAUUCUUUAAAACAGAACUUGGUAACCUAUUAAUAAUAUAGAUAGUAGAAGUAAAGAAUCUUUCCAAAAAGACAUUGGAAGGGCUGCAAUAGCUAAUCAGGACAAUCCAACUUCAGUAAUGUGUCUAUGUCUCCUUUUUAUACCACCUUGUUGUUGGUGUAUAUAGGGAUAUGACUUCCUAUGCAUAAUACCAUUAGUAGUAAGAAAUUGAGUAAAGGAAUUAAACAUAAACUCCAUUCCUUUAUCAGUUUGUAUAGCUUUCAAUUUCAGUCCAAUUUGUGUUUCCAUAAACAUUUUAUAGUUUUGAAGAGCUUGUAAAGCCUUUAUUUAUUAGUCAAGAGAAAAAUGGUGAUAAAUUUAGUGUGAGCAUCAACAAAUGAAAGGUAAUAUCUAUAGCCAUUUCUAGACAACAUAGGAGAGGGACCCCAAAUAUCAGCAUAAACAAGAUCUAAAGGAGCAUAAUAGACAGAUUCAGGUUUUUGAAAAGGUAAUUGAUGCAUUUUUUCCAUAGUGCAAAAUUCACACACAUUAGCUAGAGAAGAAUCAAACUUAACAGGAACAACACACUUCUUUAAAACAGAAAGAACAGUUUGUAUUGAGCUAUGACCUAAACGUUUAUGCCAAAGGUCAAUUGUUAUAUCUUUGUUGCUUUGUGCUAAAAGAGCAGUUUUAUCAGACAAAGCAAGACUACUUUCAUUACAAGAAACAAAAGUAUUACAAGGAUUUGUAUCUAGAGAAUCACAAGGUGCAGGAACAAGCAGACCAUGAAAGGAAUAUAUUCUAUCACUAGCCUUGCCUUGGAGAAGAAUUUCUCGAGUAUCUUGAUCACGUACAAUACAAUCAUAAGGCCAAAACUCAAAACAUACAUAAUUAUCUAAAGCAAAUUGAAACACACUCGAGAUUUUGAGUAA